CAAAGUUUUACAAAUGGCUCAGCUAAAGCACUUCUAAUAUAUUUAUUAUUUCAAUGCUUUCCUCCACUCUCCUCUUCUCCUUUCUUAUUCUGAGCUUCUUGGAUCCUGGAUCAUGCUUGGAUCAGAUUCAUCCGCAAAUGAUACACACUAUGGAAGGGGGCGGAGCAACGAUACAGUGUGAUGGAACAACAGCUGUAUGCUUCGACAAUGCGUUACAACAGGUGGGAGACCUUACAAAAGACCCACCUGAGUCAUGGAGCAACGUAAAAUACACGUGAGACAUACGGGACCCCCACCCUGCCCAUGGACAUCAGUAGCAACAAAGGAACCCACUUUACUGGCCAUGAAGCUCAGGAACGGGCCGAUAAAAAUAACAAACACUGACAUUUCCACCUGCCUUACAAACCCCACUGCUGCUGGUCUAAUGGAAAGGAUGAAUGGACUACUUAGCAACAGUUGAGAUGGAAACCCGUUCUCUCCUCUGUGGACCAGAGGCUAACUCAAGCCAUCUGAACUAUAACUGAACAUCCCAGGAGCAACUUUCCUAGUGCCUACAUCAUGUUCACCCAGAGGCAACUGAUCAACACCAUCCAAGUUCAACGGCUGACCACCGAAGAACUGUUGCCAACUAUCUGCCAGGACAAAAACUCACUUCUGGCCCUGCUUCAGGAUCUACACCCAGGGGAGCACACUAUAAAAUGGCCCUGUGACUGGCAGAGUUCCAGACACUGUUGGAGGCAGAGAUGGACAAGAUGGCACCUACACUGGUUCUGGUACCCGUGACCCAUUUACACAGAGGAGAACUUAUCCAUGUGGCAUGCUGGCUUAGCACUUAGACCACCAAACAAGAACUCCACCACUCUGCUUGAGGAGCAAGCUCUUCACACUAACUGUUCUCAGCACCAUUCUGAAAUGUCUUUGUCUCACUGGGGCACAGCUGUCCUGAGGAUUUUAAUACUGCAAUCCACAAGGCCUUUUUUUAAGCAAUAAGACCCAAAAUGACCUUUUCUACCUAGGUAUCAAGAUUUCAAAACUAUUCCCUAUCAGCACAAACUCUCUGAACUUUUAGCUUCCUGCUAGAGCUGUGUAAAGUCAGCUUCUUCUGAACCACUGGUUGAAACUUGUAAAGGGACUGAUUUUUCUGGAAUUAUGGUUUACCAAUUGCAUCAUCAUUAUCAUUUCUUGUCCACUGACCAGAGAGUUUGUACUUGUAGAUGACAGUUGUAUUUGCAUUCUGUAUGGCUUCCCUAUCAACGCACUUUUGAGGGCCCAGUAUUUAGCAGAGAAUGUUUUUCUAUAUAGCAGAUUAUUACUUUCAUCCACUACUGUGCUAAGCAUGCAUUUUACCUGCAUUAUUUCAUUUAGUCCUCACAGUGAUCCUCUAUGGUGCAAAGAGAUAAAAAUGACUAGGACAUGGUCACCACAAACUGAAGAACCAGGACUUGAACUUGAUCUGACACCAGAGCUCUCGUUCUUAACCACUUCAUUUAUACUGCUUCUGCAAGAAUGGCCUUUCUAUAAUUAAAAUUAUAUAAUGGAUUUUUAAAAUCUGUUAGAAGAGUAAAUUCUAAGAACAUGAAAACUAACUCUUGGUCAAAAUGAAAGUUUUUUAUUAGUGUGCUGAAAAUAGAGCUAAAGAAGCAUGUACAUUUACUUCUAAUUUACAAGUUGGUACACAGGAGCAGAAAACGUAGUGAUAAAAGACUAUUUCUGUCUUUUUAGACAUUUAGCACAUUCUUCUACCACCUAAU